rnacentral:rRNA from 1 species
UACGUAGGGGGCAAGCGUUGUCCGGAAUCAUUGGGCGUAAAGCGCGUGUAGGCGGUUCGGUAAGUCGGCUGUGAGAGUCCAGGGCUCAACCCUGGGAUGCCGGUCGAUACUGCCGGACUAGAGUUCGGAAGAGGCGAGUGGAAUUCCCGGUGUAGCGGUGAAAUGCGCAGAUAUCGGGAGGAACACCAAUGGCGAAGGCAGCUCGCUGGGACGUUACUGACACUGAGGCGCGAAAGCGUGGGGAGCGAACAGG